CUCUCCCAGGGUCCAUUUGUUUAACUAACCAGCAGAGGGCUUCAGUCAAUGAAUGGACUGAAAUCCAUGAACACAGUGCCCACCAUAUAGUCAUGGCUUAAUAAAUGCUAGUAAGCCCCGCCUGACCCGACACGUUGGGUCCGUGUUGUCCAGCUUGGCAGAAGAGAGCUCUCUCCCUGUGCUCCUCAGAGCUGGUGGUGAGCACCCAUCUGGUGGACGGCCUCAGGCUGCCUGGGGGCCAGGUCCUGCAGACUGCCUUUCGACUGUGGCCCUCUCUCUCAUCUGCAGGCCCCAAACAGGAGAUGGCCAGGGACUUCUGGAGGAUGGUCUGGGAGCAGAAGUCAGAGACCAUUGUCAUGCUGACCAACUUGAAAGAAAGAAAAAAGAGCAACAGAAAGAUGGGCAGAAGAGCUGGGAAGAAUGUCCACCUGAUUUGCUUCACAAGGAAGAGCAAACGACUACAAGAGACCAAUCCCCAUUCACCCGGAACUUGCAAACUAAAAGUUCCCAGCCCCAGUACUAGAGUUUCAUCAAUCAACUUACUAGUUUUCUGAGCAACACCCUUAACACCGUACCAAAUACAGAGGAAGCUGUGAUGGAAAGGAUACAAGAAAUCAGUACUAAUGAUUUGGAUAGAUGUGAGUAUGUUGGCAGAAAAGUUGUCACUUAAGAAUUUUCUGCUCAUAUGGUUUACGUUCCUAAUACAGAAAAUGCUUGUGCCUCAUUUCAAAUUAAAAAUCCGUUUCCAUUGUUGAGAUUUUGCAACAGUAAGGCAAGAGAAGGUGUACAAAAUCUAUGAAGUUAAUUGUUCCAUUUCUCAUAGCAAAAUAUUUCCAGUUGUUAAAAUCCAAUAAUGCUGCUUAUAUCACUUCAGAAGGAGAUCUUCCAAACUCACUUGGAAGUAUAUCUGGUGAAUAUGUGAUGAUUGUCAAACUCUUUCCCCCCCUAGAACUGAUAUAAAACCCAAAAGGCAUCAAUAAGGCUCAUUUAAAAAGCGCAAUCACUUGUUCAAUUUCUGCAGAACAGUUUAACCAACAGCCUCAUAUAGAAAAUUCAUAAUCCUGAAAUCAGUGUAGUGAAAACUGUCUCUUCAUCUCUUUGUCGACCUCCAGUUCACACAAAUAUUGAUGUUUAUCUUGGAUUGAAUAUGUUUUGCAGAGGCCUUCCAUAGAAGUCUUGUUUUUGCCUAGUAGUCUAGCUUUUUCUCGUUGGGCAAGUUUCUCUAGUGUCCUGAAAAUUUAGUAGACUGUUACAUUAUGAAGUUUAAGCGGAAGUGUUUUAUUUUCAUAUAUGAG
rnacentral:lncRNA from 1 species